rnacentral:lncRNA from 10 species
AAGGAAAUAUGUCAUGGCAGAAACGAUUCUGGCUACAAACUGGUAGGUGUGGGUUCAAUAGUUCAAGCUCUGUCUUUAAUUAACAGCGGGACCUUACUGAGCUUCAGUCUCCUCACCUGCAAAAUCAACAUAAUACAAGCCCCAUGCCUCCUGUGUUGUGCAAACCAAAUGCAACAAGCACUGGGAAUCGGAUAAAGCAGAGUGUAUUUGUGAACUCUAUAUUACCAUGAUUGUUACAAAGCCGUAUUCAGACACCUCCUGCUCACAGUCAACCAGGUCACAGUUCCUUCUGACUCGGCUGUAAUGACAGGCUGUCUUGGGGGACCCCCCUCACAGUGGAGGCCCCUGCCAUCCCCUGCUGCUCCUCCAUCCCUCUUUCCUCUGCCCCCCUCCCUCUUCUCCUGCCUUUUUCCAACAUUUCCUGGUGCCUUCUGUGGGCCAGGCUUACAGAAGAAGCCGUAGGUCCGGAGACAUGACACGAGGUCCCUGGUCUCCAAAACCCUGCGUAUUUUGUGACAACAGAUUCUGGUACAUGCUUUCACAGCGGUCUGUGCAAGGCCCUUGGGGAGCACUGUGGAGGGAACACCCAAAUCUGCUGGGAGGAGCAAGACCCAAGGCCAGCAAAGAGUGGGUAGAGCUCUGGGCUAGGAAGGGGUCUGAGUCCUUGUUCCAGCUCUGUCCACCACUCACUGUGUGACUGUAGGCAAGCCCCCAGCAAUCUAGGCCUCAAUUUCCUCACCUGUCAAAAGAGAUGGUGAUUCUAUGCUCUUGCAACUAACUUAUGCUGUGCUUCUGCCAUCUCUUAGUGGGCCCAGCACUGCACUACCCGCUACAGGAUAUGAAAGAGAGAAGUGAAGACUUGGUUCCGUCCAUUAAGAGAUUCUGCAGUGAAGAAGUGUCAAGCCACAAACUCCGUUCAAAGGAGCAGUGAUUGACUGAUUCCCUUUUGGUGUCAGUGUUCAGCACAGCUGGGAUGCCUUUCAGGGAAUCUAAAAAGCCAAUGGAGGCUUGGAGCGUUGACUACGGAGGCCUUUUCCAGUGCGGAUUCCAGGGGCCUAUGAACAGUUCUCGAGCUACCGAAGGUCAGAUGCAGUAAGACAUCCAGUUCAGAAGUCACAAUCACAGGAAAUUUAGGGGGCAGCAGCGCACGCAGCUGGGCUGGCUUGCUGGGGGAGAUUUUCUGCAGGAGGGGGAGUUGGAUGCAGGAAGAAUGUUCCAGGCGGGAAAAACUUCCAGCAGUCCCAGGCCAACUCUGCACGUCAGGCAAUCUGACUUUGGCCAAGUCACCAAAUCCCCCCGCAAAGCCUUGAUUUCUCCAUCUGUAAAACAGGGCUGCUGAGAGAUUGAGAGAGGGUACAUAGGCCGGGAAGGUGGCUCACGUCUGUAAUCCCAGCACUUUGGGAGGCCGAGGCGGGAAGAUCACUUGAGCCCGGGAGUUCAAGAUCAGCCUGAGCAGCAUAGCGAGAUCUCAUCUCUACUAAAAUUUUAAAAAAUUAACCAGGCAUGGUGGGGCGUGCCUGUAGUCCCACCUACUUGCAGGGCUGAGGCGGGAGGAUCGCUUGAGCCUGGGAAGUUGAGGCUGCAGUGAGCCAAAAUUGUGCCACUGCACUCUAGCCUUGGGUGACAGUGGAAGACUCUGUCUCAAAUAAAUAAAUAAAUAAAUAAAUAAAUAAAUAAAUAAAUAAAAAGAAAAGAAAAAGAGAGGGCAUAUAAGGUGUGCUAGAGCACAGUGCUGAGGACACAGCAGGCCCUCAGUCGCUGGCAGUUCCAGUUUUGUUUCCUGAAGGAGCUCACCCACUUCCCUCUGUCAUGCACUCCUGGAUCUCACCACCUAAGGGCAGAGAAGCCACCUGCUCAUGGUCAUCUGAACACCAGUCCCAGACUCGAUUUCUCUCUCCAUCUGGCCUGACAACCCCCCAGAAUCACUCCUGGUUUUUCCCUUCCUCGUUUUCCCCUGGGGGCCUUUUAAUUUCUUCCUCUGUAUCAUAAACACAAAACAAGUGUUUAAACAUCUGACUCGAAGGCAAUCUGGAAAGCAGAGCGACUCUUACAUAAAGACCAGGCGAGGCCCACGCUUGCCAGGAGGGCCAUCUGGAUGCUCGCUCUGCCACCCUCCCGCCCUCCCUCUGCCUGGGAACCGCUGUUAUUUCAUAAUUAAGGACAGUAACGAGGAGCUGGAGGGAGCAGCAGGGAUGAAAAGCCUAAUGCAGGCUCAUCGCCCAGUGGCCCUGCCUUUGGUGGCCGCUGCUGCAAUCCAGGGCUGACUCUCCUGCCCCACGACUUCCCUGCUCCUACCUGGGGUCCUGGCAGUGGAACAGGAGCCCCACUGUGGCAGAGGAGCUGGAGAAGAGGGAGGCAGCAAAACCUAGUGGUUACUCCCCCAGGAGCUGGGGACAGUCUGGGUGUGGACCUUUGCACCACCACUCCUACCUGUAACUGAUCCUGGUGAGACCGAUGCAGAAAAUGAAGAUGUGAGCAGCAUCUGGAGAAGUACGACAUGUUAUGCAAAUGCAAGCUGUUUUUAAUCCGUGAUGAUUUAUAUUACUCAGACAGUGUUAACAUAAUCCUAGCUUGGAGGUAUCAAAACGGCCCACAUCUAGUUUGUAAACACAUCACGUGCACGUGUGUGCACACACAAUCCACACAAAGGGAGCCUGCCAGGUGCUGGUAGCAGUGAGUUCUGCCUGGGGUUAUUAGGAGAAGGCUUCACAGGAUACUGAAUCUCGUGGUGAGCCUAGGAGGAGAAAUCUUGCAGGGAACAGUCCUGGCACUGGGACUCAGGGCCCCAAGGACGUUUCUGGCUCCCUCUUGCCACCAGGUGAGCUGGCCACAUCCGCUGUGAGUCUGGGGCUCUGGCCAGGACUGCUUCCUCCCCCUACCCAGGCUAAGGGUGGGAGAGGCUGCUGCCUCUGGACUGGCCUCUGUCCCCCACCCCCCAUUCCCCGGGUGUAGGAAGAGACAGGUGUGUGCACCCAGAACGAAUCCUGGAGAACCACCAAGGCCGGCGCUGGCCCCAGGGUGCAGGUGUCUGACGCUGCUGAAUAAAUCAUGAUGGUGCCCAGUGAAACUUCUCCCCACCCAGAGGAGCUUUCUCUGCCUUCCAGAUGCUAUCUCCCCGCAGAAAGCCAGGUGGCAUGUACGUGACCCUUCUUCAGCAGAUGGCGAGCAGGGGUGAGCUUUCCACCUGGUCAGGCUAACAUUUCCUAAGCUGGAACGAGCCUUUUCAGGGAUCCACGCGAACCCCCGGCAAACUGUUCCCAGCACGGCACUCUGCACCCACCAUCCUCGCUGCCUGCUUACCUGCCUGUGUCCUCCCUCAGACCCAAAGCUUCAGAAGGCCAGGAAGUGCCCCCUUGUCCACCAGUGUCUGUGUCCAUCUUCUUUGUAUUUCCAGGGCCUAGAACAGAGUAAAAGCUGGAUCCAGAAAGAAAGAGAGGGGGACAGAGAGAGAGAGAGAGAGCGAGGGAGAGGGAGAGGGAGAGAGGAGGAGAGAGAGGAAAGAGAGGGAGAGAAAGAGGAAGAAAGGGAAAGAAAGAGAAAGAAAAGAGGAAGGAAGGAAGGAAGGAAUGAGAAUGAAGGAAGGAGAGGGAGAGAAAGAAGAAGGAAGGAAAGAAAGAGAAAGAAGGAAGGAAGGAAAAAAGAAAGAGGAAGGAAGGAAGGAAGGAGAAAGAAGGAAGGAAGGAGAGGGAGAGAAAGAAGGAAGGAAGGAAAGAAAGAGAAAGAAGGAAAGAAAAAAGAAAGAGAGGAAGAAGGAAGGAAAGAAAGAGAGAAAGGAAGAAGAAAGAAAAAGAGAGAGGGGAUAUAUUAUUUUCCAUGAUGACAGCCGAAUAUCUCCAGACCCCUCCACUUCAUCGAAUCUCUCUUUAAGAAACCCUCAAGCCAGUGAAUCUUCCUAUUAUUAUCUCCCGUUAUAUCAAGAUUCCUGUCUAAAAUGCCUUGGGAGCAGUUUUACUCGAUUCCAGAAAAGAUGAAUAGCCUGCUUCCUGACAUAGAUGAGUAAAUAACUCUAGAUUCUCUAUUUUUGCCCUGGUUUCUUACGUUGAUACAGCAAUCAAGCUGACGUGGCAUUGCCUUGAUCUAGUAAUCCCUUUUAUAAAAUGACCUUUAGAAUGUAACAUAUUUCCAAGCAAAGAGUCAGUGAAAUAAGGUAAUUUACUCUGGGUAGCAUAUCUUCCAAUAUUCUUGGGCCAAAAGUAACCAAAUAUGAGAGGGCCAGAUAAAGAGGAGCUGUGAGGAUUAAUUACUCAUUUUGGUUGAGUGCUGCUGCUGAGUGGCGGGGAACAAAUCUUUUUCUAGAGAGAGAGGGAGGAUAGGAGACAGAGAGAGAGAGGCAGAAGCACAGACAAAGAGAGAGAGAGAGAGAGACAAGGCGGCAGAGAGAGGGAAAGAGAAGAAAUAAUCCGGGUGAUGUGUGGGUGCUUCCUGUUCUCCCACAAACAGGAAUCUGGGCUUUCUGGCCCCGGCUGAUAACGAGCAGCCGCACAACAGUCUCACGUGUGCGCCCAAUUUCCAUCCUCUGGAGGGCCUCCACGUUCAUCAUCUCACCUAAUCAUCCCACUCAGAGCUGCAAGAGGGCAGAAAGGUCACCUUGUCUCAUCUUGAACCUCGGCAUCCUCCCAGAAGGCCCACCCAACCCCUGCUGGCCCGAGAUAUCACCCAGGGUCAGGUGUGGUGCCGUGGAAAGCAAGCCCGUGAACCUUGGAGCCAAACCUGAGUUCUUUCACUAGACAGCUUUGUGGCAUUGAGUCUGGUACUUGCUGUCUCUGGACCUCUGCACCUGGGCUGGGAGAGCAGGGCACAGCAUGUCUCUCUCAAGAGGGAUGAUCUGAACAUUACUCAGUGAUUAGGAAUUCUGGCUUCCGGGCAAUCAGAGCUACACUCGAUUUUUGGUGCUGCCAUUUUCAAGAUAGGUGACCUUGAGCACACUGCUGAAUCUAGAUGGGCCUCAGUUUCCCCAUCUGAAUAAUGGAGAUGAUAACAGCACCUCUUCUAAGAUCAUUGGGAAGAUUACAUGAAACGAAGUAGCUCAGGACCAAGGGGGAGCAGUGCUCCUGGCCAACACUCACACAGCGCUUUGAAGCACUUACUAUUUGCCAGGCUCUGCUCUGGAUAGAUGUAUAGACGUGUCUGUGCACAUGUGCGGUAAUCCUUAGAGCAGCUCCCGAGUCAGGUAACAUUAUUUUCCCCAGUUUACAGAUGAGGAAACUGAGACACAGAUGGGAAGUAACUCUCCUGGGAUCACACAGCUGAUUAGUGGCAGAGUCAGGAUUCGAACCCAGGCCAUCUGGCUCCAGAUGCUGAGUCCUCACCCUAGCUUACUGCUUCUCAGCAAGGGCUCAACCAAUUAUAGCCAUUUCCAUUCAGUUCCCAGACACAUUGCAAAUGCCUAAUCCAAGCUCAUUCCCCUGCCUUCACUCCAUGGCCCUUGUGUAGAAUUGAAAUCUGUCUUCUUACAGUGUCUACUUAUUUGUCCCCAGGAACUAUCUCUAAUCUCUAAUGCCUUGUCACAGCCAUUCUACUGCUUGUAGAUCAAUUGGCUGAUUUCCCAUGAAUGUCUUCUCAGGCUAACCUUGUCCCAUUAUUCCCUAUGGGAACCCUGAUUGAUUUAUCCUGUUCUAAACGUGCCUUAACAACCACAUGCCAAGCACUGGGCUGGGUGCAACAUGAAUUUGGAGGCUGAUCUCUUGGUUCUCCCCCAUCAGGUGGGCAGACUAAGGGUCCCUGCCCCAUUCCGAUCACUCCCCAUGGGAUCCGCUCCAGUUUGGUUACAGCCUCUAAAUGCUGGGGCCUGGACAUCAGCCCACACUGCUUUAAGCCUCCAUGGCCACCCUGGGAAGUGAGCAAGAUGGAAGUUGUUCCUCUUGGGACAGAUGAGGCAACUCAGGCCCAGAGGAGGAGGUGACUUAACUCAACGCCAUACAGCAAAUCCCUGAAGCAGGUGGUCUGGAACUCAGGCCCCAGUUUUCAUAAACUCACAUAUCUGACUUCAGCCUGCUGACACCUUCCUUGGAUUUGGGAAGAGGUGGAAUAGGAGGGACCUCAUUUUCUGCUGCGGGGGAGAAGGUAGAGACCUGCCGAGCCCAGAUUGGCCUCAGUAUCCACCUGGGGUUUGCAAAACCUGCCUGGGGGAGGCAAAAUCACCCUUGGUUCCCUUCUUCCCCUGUGUCUCAAUGGACAUAGAGGGGUACCUGAUGUCCUUCCCCUGGUCUGAAAGACAUGAAGGCUAAAAAAAAAAAAAAAACAAAAAAAAUCCUGAGAGGUUAAAAUUAGUUUUCCACCUUCUUCUGCCCCAGAAAGAGCUGACAACUCACCUGGAAGGAACUCUCCUUUCUGGGAGCUGAGAGGGGCGCUGCAUGGGGGUGUCGGCGUCGGGGCUGGAAGGCUGUUUUUUUUUCCCCACCUCCAUCAUUUCCCUCCCCC